GAUCUACUCCAUCCAUCCGGAAAUACUUGUCAUUAAAAUGGAUGAAAAUGGAUGUAUCUAGAACUAAAAUACAUCUAGAUACAUCCAUUUCAAUGACAAGUAUUUUCGGAUGGAGGGAGUACAGU
rnacentral:pre_miRNA from 1 species